GACGGAGGAUGCAAAUGUUAUCCGGAAUCACUGGGCGUAAAGCGUCUGUAGGUGGUUUAAUAAGUCAACUGUUAAAUCUUGAGGCUCAACCUCAAAAUCGCAGUCGAAACUAUUAGGCUAGAGUAUAGUAGGGGUAAAGGGAAUUUCCAGUGGAGCGGUGAAAUGCGUAGAGAUGGAAAGAACACCGAUGGCGAAGGCACUUUACUGGGCUAUUACUAACACUCAGAGACGAAAGCUAGGGUAGCAAUGGG
rnacentral:rRNA from 1 species